UACGUAGGCAGCGAGCGUUGUUCGGAGUUACUGGGCGUAAAGGGUGUGUAGGCGGUUGUUUAAGUUUGGUGUGAAAUCUCCCGGCUCAACUGGGAGGGUGCGCCGAAUACUGAAUGACUUCGAGUGCGGGAGAGGAGAGUGGAAUUCCCGGUGUAGCGGUGAAAUGCGUAGAUAUUGGGAGGAACACCAGUGGCGAAGGCGGCUCACUGGACCGGUUCUGACGCUGAGGCGCGAAAGCGUGGGGAGCAAACGGG
rnacentral:rRNA from 1 species